rnacentral:rRNA from 1 species
UCAAGUAAGUAAGAGCACAGGGCGAAUGCCUUGGCAUUAGGAGCCGAAGAAGGACGUGAUAAGCUGCGAAAAGCUGCGGGGAGGCGCAAAUAGCUAUUGAUCCGCAGAUGUCCGAAUGGGGAAACCCGGCUGCAGUAAUAUGCAGUCAACGCAUAGUGAAUAGAUAGCUGUGCGUGGGGAACCGCCUGAACUGAAACAUCUAAGUAGGGCGAGGAAGAGAAAUCAACCGAGAUUCCCUGAGUAGCGGCGAGCGAAAGGGGAAAAGGCCAAACCGGGGUAGUUACUAGUUGCUAGUCAAUAGUUACUAGUACUUAGUAACUACUCCGGGGUUGCGGACUGAGAACGGCAUUGCGGAGGGUAGCAGAACUGCUUGGAAAAGCAAACCAAAGAGGGUGAAAGUCCCGUACGCGAAACUCAAAGCAAGCCAUCAGAAUCCAGAGUACCUAUGGGCACGUGAAAUCCGUAGGGAAGCAGGGGGGACCACCCUCCAAGCCUAAAUACUACCUAAUGACCGAUAGUGAAGCAGUACCGUGAGGGAAAGGUGAAAAGCACCCCGGGAGGGGAGUGAAAGAGAACCUGAAACCCUGUGCUUACAAACUGUCAGAGCGCAUUAAAGCGUGAUGGCGUACUUUUUGUAGAACGGUCCGGCGAGUAUUUGUAUGUAGCAAGGUUAAGGCGUAGUAAGCGCUGCAGCCGAAGGGAAACCGAGUGUUAAUAGCGCGGAUAGUUGCAUGCAAAUGACCCGAAACCCGGUGACCUACCCAUGGACAGGAUGAAGCGAGAGUAAAAUCUCGUGGAGGUCCGAACCCACCACUGUUGAAAAAGUGGGGGAUGAGCUGUGGGUAGCGGAGAAAUUCCAAUCGAACCGGGAUAUAGCUGGUUCUCCUCGAAAUAGCUUUAGGGCUAGCCUUGUAUUAAUGUAGCGGAGGUAAAGCACUGAGUGGGCUAGGGGCCUUCACAGGUUACCGAACUCUAUCAAACUCUGAAUGCCGCAUACAUGAUGUACAGGAGUCAGACUGUGAGAGAUAAGUUUCAUAGUCAAAAGGGAAACAGCCCAGAUCUACAGCUAAGGUCCCUAAAUCGGUUUAAGUGGGAAAGGAUGUCCGGUUGCGCAGACAACUAGGAUGUUGGCUUAGAAGCAGCCACUCAUUUAAAGAGUGCGUAAUAGCUCACUAGUCGAGUGACUGGGCGCCGAAAAUUUAACGGGGCUAAAACCGAUACCGAAGCUUAGGCUUGGAGUUGUCAGUUAUGAGUUAACAGUAAGGAGUAGAAAAAAUAUGGCAGAGUACAGAAAGCUUAAGGUAUAUAAUAAAUUGAUACAAACAUUACUACUGAAAACUGUGAACUGAUAUCUGAUAACUCCAGGGGUAGAGGAGCGUUGUGCUAUAGGAAGAAGCGAUACCGAGAGGAGUCGUGGACGAAGCACAAGAGAGAAUGCCGGAAUGAGUAGCGAGAAUUAUGUGAGAAUCAUAAUGGUCGAAAACCUAAGGUUUCUUGAGGAAGGUUCGUCCACUCAAGGUAAGCCGGGAGCUAAGGCGAGGCCGAAAGGCGUAGUCGAUGCACAUACUGUGGAAAAUCAGUAGCCACCGAAAUUGUCAGCAAAUGGGGACGCAGGAGUAUAGCCUAACCAUGCCGUUGGUCGAGCAUGGCCUGAAAAGGGGAGCGAAAAACAAGUAGCGAAGUAGGCGAUUACACACUGACGAGAAAAGCCAUUUGCCUUUGGAUUAGGUGCCCGUACCGCAAACCGACACAGGUAGGUGAGGAGAGAAUCCUAAGACCAGCGGGAGAAGUGUUGUUAAGGAACUCGGCAAAAUAGCCCCGUAACUUCGGGAGAAGGGGCGCUUAAGGCAACUUAAGCCGCAGAGAAUUGGUCCAAGCGACUGUUUAACAAAAACACAGGUCUAUGCUAAAUCGAAAGAUGAAGUAUAUGGGCUGACGCCUGCCCGGUGCUGGAAGGUUAAGAGGAGGGCUUAGCGCAAGCGAAGGCCUGAAUUGAAGCCCCAGUAAACGGCNNACGGUCCUAAGGUAGCGAAAUUCCUUGUCAGGUAAGUUCUGACCCGCACGAAUGGCGUAACGGUUUGGACGCUGUCUCAACAGCACGCCCGGUGAAAUUGAAGUACUGGUAAAGAUGCCAGUUACCCGCGACAAGACGGAAAGACCCCAUGGAGCUUUACUGCAGCUUGAUAUUGGAUUUUGGUAUGACAUGUACAGGAUAGGUGGGAGACUUAGAAGCGCGGACGCCAGUUUGCGUGGAGUCAACCUUGGGAUACCACUCUUGUUAUGCUGAAGUUCUAACCAACACCCGUGAAUCCGGGUGGGGGACACUGUCAGGUGGGCAGUUUGACUGGGGCGGUCGCCUCCCAAAAGGUAACGGAGGCGCUCAAAGGUUAGCUCAGCACGGUCGGAAAUCGUGCAGAGAGUGUAAACGCAUAAGCUAGCCUAACUGCGAGACAGACAAGUCGAGCAGUAACGAAAGUUGGAGUUAGUGAUCCGGCGGUAUGUGAGUGGAAAUGCCGUCGCUCAACGGAUAAAAGCUACCCUGGGGAUAACAGGCUGAUCUCCCCCAAGAGUCCACAUCGACGGGGAGGUUUGGCACCUCGAUGUCGGCUCAUCGCAUCCUGGAGCUGAAUUCGGUUCCAAGGGUUGGGCUGUUCGCCCAUUAAAGCGGUACGCGAGCUGGGUUCAGAACGUCGUGAGACAGUUCGGUCCCUAUCUGUCGCGGGCGCAGGAAAUUUGAAGGGAGCUGUCCUUAGUACGAGAGGACCGGGAUGGACGUACCUAUGGUGCACCAGUUGUCGUGCCAACGGCACAGCUGGGUAGCCAAGUACGGACGGGAUAAACGCUGAAGGCAUCUAAGCGUGAAGCCCCCCCUAAGAUAAGAUUUCCCAUUGCGAAAGCAAGUAAGACCCCAUGGAGACUACAUGGUUGAUAGGUCAAAGGUGUAAGCGCGGUGACGUGUUUAGCUGAUUGAUACUAAUAGGUCGAGGACUUGACCU